GGCAUAAAUAAAAAAAUCAAUGACUGAUUUUCUGUUAUGUCAUAAUUGACUAAUUAUUACAAACCAUUUAUUUUAGACGAUAAUAUUCUUUAUUUUCUUUAUAAACUAUUAUUAAAAACAUCACAUAAAAGUAUAAUUAUUUCUUUUCUUUCUUCUUGAGUGACUAAAACGAAUUAUUCGCAACAUGUCGGAUAUGAUAAUAAAUGAUUCUGUCCCGGUUGAUAAGAAAUGGAAUGAAUUAAUUAAAUAUAAUAUUUUUCUUAUGAAGUUAGUUGAAUUUGGAAUAUCACUAGUAAUUAUUAUUUUACCUACAUUAAUACCAAAACCCCAAGGACACAUGUACUGCAUAUCAACAGGCCCUACUUUAAUAAUAUCGCUUCUGUUUGUAAUACUCUAUUUACGAAGAAAAGUACCAUUGUUUAUGGAGAAAAUG
rnacentral:misc_RNA from 1 species